GCCCACAACACCCCCCUCCCCUCCCCAGCCAUCUGGGCUCAGCCUGCCUCCUUCCUUUCCUGGGCCAGACUCUGGAAUCCCUCUUCUGCUCAUUCAGCCACCUCUAGGACAGCACAAGAUCCUACAACCAGACACCCCCGGCAAGGCUGGUCAAGGCAGGGACAAGAUGAGAAAAGAGGUCCAGAGGAGGUGGUUUGUCCAAGAUCGUGGGAGUCCUGGAGACAACAUUUGAACCCAGGUUCUGUGACUCCAAAGCCAAUGCUUUCUUGACCCUGGGCUAACUUCGGGUAGUUUGCCUUUUCUUCCUGGCAGAACUAUGUUGUCAUCUCUGCUCCCUCCCAAUCCUUCACUAAUGCUCCCCUACCUUAUCAGUUACUUAUACCUAGGAACCUUUGAGACAGCUGAGGAAAACUGGAACCUGAUUUCUAACACCAGAGAAAGGAUGGCUUCAGAGUUAUUGCUAGAAGCUAAGAAUCUAUGAUGAGGAGCAAAAAAGCAGAGGCUUCGGAAAGAGAGCAACAAGGAGGUCACUGGAAGCAAAACACUAAAUCAGAGAAAGGAUAAGAACGCAUCUGUGAGGCCAACAAAUACCCCACAAACCAUGCCAAGACACAUUUUGAAAGAAUGAGCAUCCUCCUUCUGAAGGGGCCCAGGAGAAGCCAGUUCACUGCUAUAGUGUAAAGUUACCAGUAACAUUAACAUUUCUCACCUAUAAGCCAGGUCUCUCCUUCAAAAUGGAGAGGUAGCACUCUGCUUGACCCAAGGAUGUUUCUCAUCAA